rnacentral:rRNA from 1 species
GAUGAACGCUGGCGGCGUGCUUAACACAUGCAAGUCGAGCGAGUGAGUUCUUCGGAACGAUCUAGCGGCGGACGGGUGAGUUACACGUGGGCAACCUGCCUCAUAGAGGGGAAUAGCCUCCCGAAAGGGAGAUUAAUACCGCAUAAAAUUAUCGAGUGGCAUCACAUGAUAAUCAAAGGAGUAAUUCGCUAUGAGAUGGGCCCGCGGCGCAUUAGCUAGUUGGUGAGGUAACGGCUCACCAAGGCGACGAUGCGUAGCCGCCCUGAGAGGGUGAUCGGCCACAUUGGGACUGAGACACGGCCCAGACUCCUACGGGAGGCAGCAGUGGGGAAUAUUGCACAAUGGGGGAAACCCUGAUGCAGCAACGCCGCGUGAGUGAUGAAGGUCUUCGGAUUGUAAAGCUCUGUCUUUGGGGACGAUAAUGACGGUACCCAAGGAGGAAGCCACGGCUAACUACGUGCCAGCCGCCGCAGUAA